rnacentral:lncRNA from 1 species
AGGGUCACAAUGGGAGAGGAGUGGGUGUACCUGCUAGGGGCACUGAUGGGCACUUCUUGGGGUACAGGGCACAAACUAUCUUAGUUGAGAGCUAGGAAGCAGGUAGUACUUGCAGAGAUGCAGGAGGAGGCAGUUUUUGGCAGGGAGGUCACCUGUGACCAAGGCCAGCUGGACAGGGAGUCAAGAUCAGAUAGGCAAAGAGUGCAGCUAAGCCCAGAGGCUGAGGCUGGAGGAUCUGGGCGGAGGUGCGACGGAGAUGGGGGCAUCAGGAGCUUGUCAAGGUGCGGUAGAAUGAUGAUCGUUGUGGUGUCACAAGCAAGAAAGUUGGAAGUCACUGAACGUUCAACUGCUCUUCUGUUACAGGUAGUCAUUUGCCAUCUACAGUGUAUCUCACAGAACAUAUCAGUGUACACAUACUUGGAGAGGAGGAGGACAGAUGGAGAGAGAAAAAGAAAGAAGAUGGAAGAAAUGAUGAACAGCACAGAAGGAGGAGAAGAGAAAAAGAAAUAGAAAAAAAGCACAAUAAAAACAUGAUUACAUAGCCGGCAUGGAAAAACUGAUAGGAGACAAGAAGCCUGGGGAAGGUAAAGGGAAGGGACAGUUACACUGUCUGUUGAAAAAUUAAUAUUUCAGUUCUUUUAGAACAGUCUUGGGGCUGGGGAUUUAGCUCAGUGGCAAAAGCGCCUGCUUGGCAAGCGCAAGGUCGUGAGUUCGGUUCCCGGUACCGGAGAAAAACAAAAACAAAAACAAAAACAAAAAAAAAAAUAGAACAGUCUUAUGUGCUGCGACUGUUUAAAUUAAAAAUUGACUACAGUAAAAGGCUAUUUUCAAUAAUUCCCUUCAAAAUAUUCCUCUUUACUUUGAAAAAAGUUAUCUAUC